rnacentral:rRNA from 1 species
UUGAAAGGGAAACGAUUGAAGUCAGUCGUACCAGCGGAAAUCAACCUUUCGGGUGGGAUUUUGGAGUUUUGAAGAGUGUUAAAACCUUUGAGAUUUCAAAAUUUUCGCUCCUUUGGUGUACUUUCUCGUGGGUAGGUUAACAUCGAUUUCGAUCAUCAUAAAAGGAUUGGAGGAAUGUAGCUUCGAUCUUGUAUUGAAGUGUUAUAGCCUUCGGUAGAUGUGGUGAUCGAGAUUGAGGAUUGCAACGGAUACCUUUCGGGGCUACCUGUCUGAUCUCUGAUCGUUGCUUUGGUGCUGAAAGCGUGCUUAUAGUUAUCAAAGUCGAUGGUCAAUAGGUUAGAAUGGGUUAAAUUCGUUAAGGAUGUUGACGUA